AACCUCACUACACAUCCCACAGUUUGGCUGCUUUUUUAGCUCUGAAUCUUCAGAGUUGAAACUGCUUUGCUUUUACGCUCACUCAGAACAGACUGAGCUGUAACAGUUGGAUCUAGACGAUCGAGAAGAGUCGCAGAAAAGGCGCUUCCUGUCACAGCUGCCCUGCUGGCUGGAGACUGACCGAGGCAGAAAAAUACAUUUCCAACUGGGGUGGGGGUGCCAUAUGGGAGCUUAGAAAAAUGGAAGUGGAUCGGAGAUAGACAAGAGAGGAAUCUUUCAUUCUUGGGUCCGGCUCUCUGGAUCUAUAUGAGAGGAGAACUAAAAAAAGUGACCCCAGGCAGCAAAACCCCAUGACCGGGAUACAUCCAUGAAGGGGUCCUCUACGUCGGUCACCCCUCGUCCACCGUCUAUUCGCCACAUGAAUGCUAAUCUGGUGUCGUUAUCUCUUCUGCCGUAGGUGCCCGCGCGGCCGUCUCUCCCUCGCGCACUCGGAGGUAAGACGAGUCACGCGGCUCGCCAAAACAAAAAUCUAAAAACCUUACUUUGCAAACUGUCUUUUUUUCUUUCUUUCUUUUUGUUCCCCCCCCACAUCGUCUGUAGCAGACGACAGAAGGAGAUGGUGUUUGGGUGUACGACUGCCUUGUUUUCGCUCGCGCUCUCGCGCCAGACGUGUGAGUCAGUAAAAGUGUCAGACUGCCUCGUAACAGACGGCGCGUGCAAGAUAAUUAGCCCGGAGUCAUCUGGAAGCAGCGCAGCUCUGCCCAGGUGCCCACUGUGCACAGAAAGAGACCAGAUGACCUUUUACUCAGCUCCAUCCCACUGCAGUCACUUAAAACAGUGAUGGAUGUUUCCCUCAACACCCAGCUCCUUACUAGCCUUUGCCCCCCCCAACCCCUCCUUCACCCUCCCCACUCUCUCAUCUCAACAUCCCCCUCUUCUUCUCUGCACCGCUCAAACACCACUCUCGCCUUAAUUUGUCCCCUCUCCACUCUUUGUUUUUUCUCCCGUCCUUCUAUAGCCUCCCAUUCUCUCUGUUCUUCCAGUGCGAGGAGGAGGAGGAGGAGGAGGAAGAAGAAGAA